CGUUUUCAUGACAACGCCGACUGUUGGGAUGAAGAUAUGACUGGUUCACUACAUCACUGUGGAGUCCGUCCUCAUGGUACUAAACACAGCAGAAACAUGAACGGUCAGAUGGAGGUUCCUGAUUGGACAGAGUCUAACAGUCAGAUGGAGGUUCCUGAUUGGUCAGAUUGUAAUGGUCAGAUGGAGGUUCUUGAUUGGACAGAUUCUAACAGACUGAGGUUCCUGAUUGGACAGAGUCUAACAGUCAGAUGGAGGUUCCUGAUUGGUCAGAUUCCAACAGGCUGAGGUUCCUGAUUGGAC